rnacentral:tRNA from 1 species
UGAGGGAUUGUCUAACGGCAGGACGUCUGUCUCUGGAACAGAAAGUCAUGGUUCGAAUCCAUGUCCCUCAG